rnacentral:sRNA from 1 species
AUGCCCUUUUCCGCCCCCCAUGAAUGGGUC